rnacentral:rRNA from 1 species
CUACGGGAGGCAGCAGUGGGGAAUCUUGCGCAAUGGGCGAAAGCCUGGCGCAGCCAUGCCGCGUGAAUGAUGAAGGUCUUAGGAUUGUAAAAUUCUUUCACCGGGGACGAUAAUGACGGUACCCGGAGAAGAAGCCCCGGCUAACUUCGUGCCAGCAGCCGCGGUAAUACGAAGGGGGCUAGCGUUGCUCGGAAUUACUGGGCAUAAAGGGAGCGUAGGCGGACAUUUAAGUCAGGGGUGAAAUCCCGGGGCUCAACCUCGGAAUUGCCUUUGAUACUGGGUGUCUUGAGUAUGAGAGAGGUGUGUGGAACUCCGAGUGUAGAGGUGAAAUUCGUAGAUAUUCGGAAGAACACCAGUGGCGAAGGCGACACACUGGCUCAUUACUGACGCUGAGGCUCGAAAGCGUGGGGAGCAAACAGGAUUAGAUACCCUGGUAGUCCACGCCGUAAACGAUGAUUGCUAGUUGUCGGGAUGCAUGCAUUUCGGUGACGCAGCUAACGCAUUAAGCAAUCCGCCUGGGGAGUACGGUCGCAAGNUUAAAACUCAAAGGAAUUGACGG